rnacentral:rRNA from 1 species
CCUACGGGAGGCAGCAGUGAGGAAUUUUGGUCAAUGGACGAGAGUCUGAACCAGCCAAGUAGCGUGAAGGAUGACUGCCCUAUGGGUUGUAAACUUCUUUUAUAUGGGAAUAAAAUGUUCCACGUGUGGGAUUUUGUAUGUACCAUAUGAAUAAGGAUCGGCUAACUCCGUGCCAGCAGCCGCGGUAAUACGGAGGAUCCGACCGUUAUCCGGAUUCAUUGGGUUUAAAGGGCGCGUAGGUGGUUUGGUAAGGCAGUUGUGAAAGUUUGCGGCUCAACCGUAAAAUUGCAGUUGAAACUGGGAGUCUUGAGUAAAGGAGAGGGAGGCGGAAUUCGUGGUGUAGCAGUGAAAUGCGUAGAUAUCGCGAAGAACUCUGAUGGCGAAGGCAGCUCACUGGACUGCAACUGACACUGAGGCACGAAAGUGAGGGUAGCAAAAGGGAUUAGAUACCCGUGUAGUC